rnacentral:rRNA from 1 species
GGUCUGAGAGGAUGAUCAGCCACNCUGGAACUGAAACACGGUCCAGACUCCUACGGGAGGCAGCAGUGGGGAAUAUUGCGCAAUGGGCGAAAGCCUGACGCAGCAACRCCGUGUGAGGGAUGAAGGCUUUCGGGUCGUAAACCUCUGUCGGAAGGGAAGAACGGGCAUUGGUCUAAUAGGCCUUUGUUUUGACGGUACCUUUAGAGGAAGCACCGGCUAACUCCGUGCCAGCAGCCGCGGUAAUACGGAGGGUGCAAGCGUUAUUCGGAAUUACUGGGCGUAAAGCGCACGUAGGCCGCUYUGUAAGUCAGGGGUGAAAUCCCACGGCUCAACCGUGGAACUGCCUUUGAAACUGCAGAGCUUGAAUCCUGGAGAGGGWGGCGGAAUUCCUGGUGUAGGAGUGAAAUCCGUAGAUAUCMGGAGGAAC